GGGAAUUUUCCGCGAUGGGCGAAAGCCUGACGGAGCAAUGCCGCGUGGAGGUGGAAGGCCUACGGGUCGUCAACUUCUUUUCUCGGAGAAGAAACAAUGACGGUAUCUGAGGAAUAAGCAUCGGCUAACUCUGUGCCAG
rnacentral:rRNA from 1 species